GGAAUAUUGGACAAUGGCCGGAAGGCUGAUCCAGCCAUGCCGCGUGCGGGAGGACGGCCCUAUGGGUUGUAAACCGCUUUUGCGGGGGAGCAAUAAGGUCCACGUGUGGGCCGAUGAGAGUACCCCGCGAAUAAGCAUCGGCUAACUCCGUGCCAGCAGCCGCGGUAAUACGGAGGAUGCAAGCGUUAUCCGGAUUUAUUGGGUUUAAAGGGUGCGUAGGCGGUUUGCUAAGCGGGAGGUGAAAUGCCGGCGCUCAACGUCGGAAGUGCCUCCCGAACUGGUGGACUGGAAUGACUCUGCCGUGGGAGGAAUGUGUAGUGUAGCGGUGAAAUGCUUAGAGAUUACACAGAACACCGAUUGCGAAGGCAUCUCACGAAGGGUUGAUUGACGCUGAGGCACGAAAGCGUGGGGAUCAAACA
rnacentral:rRNA from 1 species